rnacentral:rRNA from 1 species
AUGAAAAUCAUCAGCUGGAACUGCCGGGGAUUAGGGAAUGGCCCGACAGUUUGUUCUCUUCUCGAACUGGGAAGAGUGGAGGAGCCCGAAGUCCUAUUCCUGUGCGAAACAAGGUUAAGUGAGAAGGACCUGGAAAAGUUUAGGUGGUUGUUGGGGCUCGCCAACAUGGUAGCGUGGAAGGGGGAGGGGAGUGGAAGAGGGGUAGCCUUGUUCUGGAGGAAGGAGGUGGACGUGACCCUACGAUCGUAUGGGAGACGGCAUGUCGACGUAGAUGUCAAGCAGGAGAAUGGAGGGUUAUGGAGGCUGACGGGCGUGUACGGAGAGUCAGCUACAGAGAGGAAGAAGGAGACUUGGAGGCCGUUGAAGAUUCUAAAGAACCAGCAUCAGAAUGGGAGACCAUGGCUAUGUCUUGGUGACUUUAACGAGAUACUGUCGUGUCAGGAGAAGGUAGGGGGGGCUGAUCGGCCGCAACACUUCCUUGAUGGCUUCCGAGAGGCUAUCCAGUUCUGUGAGCUCCGUCAUAUUGGUUUUGAGGGCGACAUGUACACUUGGAGGAACCAUAGCAAAGAAUUAAGAACAUAUAUUUGUGAAAGACUGGACCGUGCCACAGCCAAUAAUGAAUGGUGUCAGAAGUUCCCAGACCAUGUGGUGAUUAAUGGAGAACCACGCCACUCCGAUCAUCGACCGGUCAUUGUGUAUAUGGAGGGAGUUGAUAGGGGAUGGAAGAGAGGAGAUCCUUUGUUCCGUUUUGAAGCCCGAUGGCUGCAGGAGGAGGGGUGUUAG